rnacentral:rRNA from 1 species
UUAAUUAAGAGUUUGAUCCUGGCUCAGGACGAACGCUGGCGGCACGCUUAACACAUGCAAGUCGAACGAGAGAAGAGAAGCUUGCUUUUCUGAUCUAGUGGCGGACGGGUGAGUAACACGUGAGCAAUCUGCCUUUCAGAGGGGGAUACCGAUUGGAAACGAUCGUUAAUACCGCAUAACAUAAUUGAACCGCAUGAUUUGAUUAUCAAAGAUUUAUCGCUGAAAGAUGAGCUCGCGUCUGAUUAGCUAGUUGGUAAGGUAACGGCUUACCAAGGCGACGAUCAGUAGCCGGACUGAGAGGUUGAUCGGCCACAUUGGGACUGAGACACGGCCCAGACUCCUACGGGAGGCAGCAGUGGGGAAUAUUGCACAAUGGAGGAAACUCUGAUGCAGCGAUGCCGCGUGAGGGAAGAAGGUUUUAGGAUUGUAAACCUCUGUCUUUGGGGACGAAAAAUGACGGUACCCAAGGAGGAAGCUCCGGCUAACUACGUGCCAGCAGCCGCGGUAAUACGUAGGGAGCGAGCGUUGNNNNNNNNNNAGGAGGAAGCUCCGGCUAACUACGUGCCAGCAGCCGCGGUAAUACGUAGGGAGCGAGCGUUGUCCGGAAUUACUGGGUGUAAAGGGAGCGUAGGCGGGAUCGCAAGUCAGAUGUGAAAACUAUGGGCUUAACCCAUAAACUGCAUUUGAAACUGUGGUUCUUGAGUGAAGUAGAGGUAAGCGGAAUUCCUAGUGUAGCGGUGAAAUGCGUAGAUAUUAGGAGGAACAUCAGUGGCGAAGGCGGCUUACUGGGCUUUAACUGACGCUGAGGCUCGAAAGCGUGGGGAGCAAACAGGAUUAGAUACCCUGGUAGUCCACGCCGUAAACGAUGAUUACUAGGUGUGGGGGGACUGACCCCUUCCGUGCCGCAGCAAACGCAAUAAGUAAUCCACCUGGGGAGUACGACCGCAAGGUUGAAACUCAAAGGAAUUGACGGGGGCCCGCACAAGCAGUGGAGUAUGUGGAUUAAUUCGAAGCAACGCGAAGAACCUUACCAGGUCUUGACAUCGUAUGCAUAGCUCAGAGAUGAGUGAAAUCUCUUCGGAGACAUAUAGACAGGUGGUGCAUGGUUGUCGUCAGCUCGUGUCGUGAGAUGUUGGGUUAAGUCCCGCAACGAGCGCAACCCUUACUGUUAGUUGCUACGCAAGAGCACUCUAGCAGGACUGCCGUUGACAAAACGGAGGAAGGUGGGGAUGACGUCAAAUCAUCAUGCCCCUUAUGACCUGGGCCUCACACGUACUACAAUGGCUGUCAACAGAGGGAUGCAAAGCCGCGAGGUGGAGCGAACCCCUAAAAGCAGUCUUAGUUCGGAUUGUAGGCUGCAACCCGCCUACAUGAAGUCGGAAUUGCUAGUAAUCGCAGAUCAGCAUGCUGCGGUGAAUACGUUCCCGGGCCUUGUACACACCGCCCGUCACGCCAUGGGAGUCGGUAACACCCGAAGCCUGUAGUCUAACCGCAAGGAGGACGCAGUCGAAGGUGGGAUUGAUGACUGGGGUGAAGUCGUAACAAGGUAGCCGUAUCGGAAGGUGCGGCUGGAUCACCUCCUUUCUAUGGAGA